UUUCAAAUGACUAAGGGCUUAUGGUGGAUACCUAGGCAUCCAGAGACGAAGAAGGGCGUAGUAAGCGACGAAAUGCUUCGGGGAGCUGCGAACAAGUAUAAAUCCGAAGAUUCCCGAAUAGGGUAACCUCUUGUACUACCUGUAUAAUCAAUAAUCAGGUUAGAGAAAACCUAGUGAACUGAAACAUCUUAGUAGCUAGAGGAAUAAAAAGCAAAAGCGAUUCCCUUAGUAGUGGCGAGCGAAACGGGAACCGCCUAAACCGUUAAAGCGGGGUUGUGGGAUAAUCAUAUAUGUUAUAUUUAACUAAACGAAGCAGUUGAAUUCUGUACCAUAGAUGGUGAAAGUCCAGUAGUUGAAAGUUGAAUUAACUUAGAUUAUAUCCCAAGUAGUAUGGGACACGUGAAAUCCCUUAUGAAUCAGCAAGGACCACCUUGUAAGGCUAAAUACUCCUGGGUGACCGAUAGCGAAGAAGUACCGUGAGGGAAAGGUGAAAAGAACCCCCAUAGGGGAGUGAAAUAGAACAUGAAACCAUAAGCUU
rnacentral:rRNA from 1 species